rnacentral:lncRNA from 1 species
CAGAAAACAACAAGCCACAUAUAAACUUUUGGUUUUAUCUCCUCUACUGUACUUGCCACAGAAAUAAUAAUUGCCUCUAUGAAUUUGUUAUUGUUUUUAUUCCAUAGACAUGUUGCACAAAUGGAAGAGGAAGAAGAGGAGGACAGGGACUGAGAUAGCAGGUUCCUCAGACUACCAUCAACCUCAGCCAUCCAGCUCCAGCUGGACCCCAGGGAAGCCACCCUUCUAUAAAGGUAAGGAGACAGGAGGGUGGCUAAACUAUGUAAAUUGAAUUAUAGAUAAAUAGAUAUAUGUUGUGUACCUAGGUCUGAGUCAGUGUGUAUCUGGCUGUGUGUGUGUAUCUUGCUGUGUUUUUGUCAGUGUGUGUCUGAGUCAGUUUGUGUCAGUGUAUGUAUCUGACUGUUCAUGUAUCUGACUCUAUGUGUGUGUGUGUCUGGCUGUGUUUUUGUCAGUGUGUAUAUCAGACUGUGUGUUUGUAUCUGGCUGUGUUUGUCAGUGUAUAUAUCUGACUGUGUGUGUGUAACUGGCUGUGUUUGUGUCAGUGCAUGUGUGCCUGUGUGUCAGUGUGUAUGUGUAUCUGUGUGUAUGUAUACCUGUGUCUGUAUAUGUGUACUUGUGGGUCAGUUUGUAUGUGUACCUGCAUGUCUGUGCAUGUGGCAAUACAUACAUCCAAUCAUUCCAGUGCCAUCAUUGCACACAAAAACACUACUACAUUCCAAAUACAUUGUGCUCAAAUACACCACUGCUGGUGUAUCUGUGAUCCUGUGUGUAUCUCAGUGUUUGUGUAAGUGUGCAUCUGUGUGUGUGGCAAUGCAUACAUACAGGGCCGGACUGGCCCACCGGGAUACCGGGAAAUUUCCCGGUGGGCCGGCACACUAGGGGGCCGGUGCGCGGCCGCCUAGUGUGCACCAGCCCGGGCUGCAAUUACAGGGUUGCCGGCAGGAGGGAAUGCGCUUCCCUCCUGCCGGUCACAGAAUGUAGUGUGGCCGAGCAGGCAGACCGUGGUAGGGGAGCUUCUGUUCCCCUACCCGGUCUGACAGGAACCUGCAAGAGAGAACGCUCCUCCCGCGAGCAGGCAGGUUGGAGCGUUGCUGUGCGUUACCAUGGCAACGCUCCGACCUGCCUGCUGUUCUUGUGGGAGGAGAGCGAAGUCAGCCUGCGGCCAGAGGAGCUGCAGGCUGAACAGCACGCUUCACCACUGGACCACCAGGGAUCGAAGAGUGGCCGUCCCCCCUCUCCCCUGACCAAAGGUAAGGGGGAGGGGGUAAAAUGAAGCUUUUUUAAAAUAUAUAUCAAUGCCCAUACACACACUACAUACCCCCCCCCAUACACACACCACCCCCUCCCCUCCACCAACAGCACCCCCCCACCAACAGCUCCCCCCACCAACAGCACCCUCCCCCCCACCAACAGCACCCUCCCCCACCAACAGCACACUCCCCCACCAGCAGCACCCUUCCCCCCACAGAACCCCUCCGCCACAAAGCACAGAACCCUCCGCACGCACAGAACCCCUCCGCAGAACCCUCCACGCCUCACAGCGCACACACAGAACCCCUCCACGCUCACACAGAACCCCUCCACGCUCACACAGAACCCCUCCACGUACACAGAACCCCUCCACGUACACAGAACCCCUCCACGCACACACAGAACCCCUUCACGCACACAGAACCCCUCCAAGCACACAGAACCCCUCCACGCACAAAGGACCCCUCCACGCACAAAGAACCCCUCCACGCUCACAGACCCCCUCCACGCACACAGAACCCCUCCAUGCUCACAGAACCCCUCCACGCACACAGAACCCCUCCACGCUCACAGAACCCCUCCACGCUCACACAGAACCCCUCCACGCUCACACAGAACCCCUCCACACUCACAGAACCCCUCCACGCACACAGAGAACCCCUCCACGCACACAGAACCCCUCCACACACACACAGAACCCCUCCACACACACACAGAACCCCUCCACACACAAACGGCACUCUCUCCACACACACACACUAAACCGCUACACACACUGCACCCCCUCCAAAUACACACCGCACCCCCCCACACACUGAACCCCUACACACACUGCACUCCCCACACACUGAACACACACACUGCACCCCUCACUGUAGUCUGUGUGUGUGCGUGUAUUCACCAGUCUGUGCACGUUCACCAGUCUGUGCGCGUGUAAUCACCAAUCUGUGUGUAUAUUCCGCAGUCUCUAUAUGUGUGUAUUCAGCAGCCAAUGUAUAUAUUCAGCAGUCUGUGUGUGUUUUUUGCAGUUUGUGUGUAUUUAGCAGUCUGUCUCUGUGUGUAAGUAUUGUAUUUGUUGGAGGUACCAAUAAAUAUAAGCCUAAUUUUAUUGAUAAUUUAUAUUUUUAUUUCUUUGAGUGGUUGCAUAGUCAGGGCCCCAGUGCAUUGGUUUGCCCAGUGGACUAUUAUGCUGUUACGAUGGCCAUGGUCUAGGGUAUGUGUGUGCUCUGAUGAUCAUGCUCCUACAAAAUGUAAAUGAAAAGACACUCAUUUGAGUACCAGGAAGGGGAUGAACAGUAACAGCCACUUCUGGCCAAGAAGAGAUUAAAAACUUAUGUAUUUCUCUGUUUUUUUUGUUUGUUUUUUUUUGCAAUUUUUGUAUCGCUAAUGGGUGUCCAAUUUUUAUAUUUUCAAAAUCUGGUCACCCUAGACAUAUGGAAGGUUGAGAGGGGGCAUAGGGACACAUGGAGGACUGGGAGAGAGGGCUAAUAGGACAUAUGUGGGGGCUACUGGAUUAUAUGCAAAUGCACGUCUGCGUCUGCUUACAAUAAAUCUGCUCUGCUUUAUUCUGAAGCCCUAUAAGUGCUUUCUUUCAUGUUUGAGUGCUAGUUUUCAGUUUUUUUCCCGCUUCCAUAUCUGCGCACUAUGCUGGCGCGAUGCAUUACGGGGCUGGUAUGGAAUUUUUUUCCAGGGCUGCUUUUCAUUCCCAGUCCGGCCCUGCAUACAUACCAGCAUUCCUAUGCCAACACUGCACACAAAUACACCCCUGCAUGUGUACCUCUGUGUAUGUGUGUCUGUGUGUAUCUGAGUGUGUGCACAUAUCUGUGUAAGUGUGUAUCUCUGUGUGUGGAUGUGCCAGUGUUUUUAUAUCUGUGUGCAUCAAAGUGUGUGUAUCUCAGUGUGCGUGUAUGUGCUAGUGUGUGUGUAUACGUGUCAGUGUGUGCAUGUAUCAGUGUGUAUGUAUAUCUGUGAAUGUAUAGAAUGUAUGUGCACAGUGGCGUACACACAAUCCAUGGGGCCCCGGUGCGAAACUGAUCCGUGGGCUCCCCCACCGCCCUAUUCCCGCCCCCACUCCCUAUUCCUCCCCACAGACACACACACACAUACAUACAAAGACACACACAUACACACAGACAUACAAACAGACAGGCACAUAUAUAUGCAUACAGACACACACAGACACAUACAUACAGACUAACACACACACACAUACAGACUGACAUACAGGCACACAGACCGACAUAUACAUACAGACAGACACACAUACACAGACAUACAAACAAACAAGCACACACACACACAGACAUACAGGCAGAUAUACACAUACAGACACACAGACAAACACACAUACAUACAAAGACAUACAGACACACACACACAUACAAACAAACAGGCACACAUACAUACAGGCAGACACACACAUACAUACAAACACACACACACACACAAUAUUUAAGUCACCCACCUGUUUCUUACCUUUUAGGUGCAGGAGGGUGACUGGGGUCCAGUGGUGGCUCAGGUGGAUGGGAGUCAGAGUUCCCACUCUCACUCCCUGGUCUUCCUCCCGCACGGCUCUCAGUGUUAGCUGGGAGGAGUGACGUGCAGUCACUUCCUCCCAGCUCUGUGAUGUAAUCACAGGGGGCCCGGUCGCACUGUUAAAGCCAGAACGACCCAGGGUGUUCAAAAUGGGGCAUGUCCAGUCUUUUGUAGUAGCCACUUAGCCACAAACGCUUAGCGUUCAAAAGUUAGCAAAAACUGCACUUUUAUUGGUGAUUUCAUCGUUGUGAUAAGUUUUACUGUUUUAAACACUCAUAUUUGUGUUCUGUGAAGUACAUGUACAUGUUCAUGUUUUUAUGGUGUUUUGGAAAGUUACAGGGUCAAUAUAGGGCUUGCCCAAUUCAGUUUGCCAGAUUGGUUUGCUGGGUCUAUGUUGCCUGUUGAGACCAUAUGUGAAUGUGAGUUAACCCCAUCAUGGCAUACCAUUUUCAAAUGUAGACAACCCAGGGUAUUCCAAAUAGGGUAUUUCCAGUCUUUUGUAGUAGCAACUUAGUCACAAACGCUGGCCAAAGUUAGUGUUUUUAUUUAUUUGUUUUUUGAAUUUUUUACUAGUGAUAUCAUCGUGAUAAGUGUUACUUUUUAAAACACUCAUAUUUGUGUUCAGCGAAGUCUCCCGAGUAUAACAAUACCCUGUCAGGAUUACUGUUUGAUCCAGCACGUAGAACUGUACAGCACGGAUGACAAAUAAGUAACGUAUUACCGGUCCUUAGAAUGGCCGGAUUUAACGUACAAAGAAUAGUCAAAAAUACUAGCCGAGGUCAGGGAACACAGAAAGGGACACAGCGAUGAGAAAAGCCAGGAGUCAGGAUACCAGAAUAUAGAGAGUCAAUAAACAAAGCCAAAGUCAAAAACCAGGUAGAAAACUAUAAACAGGAACGCGCUCUCAGACAACCACAAGGGAAACCACGACAGGGCACUGAGCAGGCUGAGAACUGGGCCUAAAUACCCCUCCUUUAGUUCUGAUAGGCUGUAACCGGCCUUUGACCCCAAAGUCAGUUACCAGGUUUCAUUUGCAUAAUUGCUGCUCAGCAUUAACCCUUCUGUGGAUUAGGUUGCUGCUCGGCACAACUUUUCCUGUGUGGACAGUAAAUGUCAUUAAUCACUUUUCUCUAAGCGGAUGAAUACAUGACACCAGGUUUCAUUUGCACAAUUACUGCUCAGCAUUAACCCUUCUGUGGAUUAGGUUGCUGCUCGGCACAACUUUUCCUGUGUGGACAGUAAAUGUCAUUAACCACAUUUCUAUAAGCGGAUGAAUAUGUGACAUUACCCCCACCUGAAGAACGCCCACCGGGCGGACAGGACCAGGCUUGAGAGGAAAUUUAGCGUGAAAAGCGCGGAUCUUACGGCCCGCAUGCAGGUCAGGAGCCGAAACCCAAGAACGAUCAGCAGGACCGUAACCUUUCCAAACAACCAAGUACUGUAAAGUGCCCCGAGAAAACCUAGAAUCCACGAUAGAAGAUACCUCAUACUCUUCCUGACCACCCACCACCACCGGAGGGGGAGGAACACAAGGAACAGUAUAUCUAUUGCAGACAAGAGGUUUGAGUAAGGACACAUGAAAAGUGUUGGGAAUCCCUAAAGAUGCAGGAAGAGCCAGAGAGUAAGACACUGGAUUGAUCCUACGAAGCACUCUAUAGGGACCAAGGAAUCUGGGGGCAAACUUCAUGCUAGGGACCUUAAGCUUGAUGUUGCGAGAUGACAACCAAACCCGGUCCCCCACUUGGUACACCGGGUUGGCACUCCUACGCUUAUCAGCAAAAUGUUUGAAGCGUUCAGCAGCAGCCCCUAGAGCAGUUUGAACCUUAACCCAGGUAUCCCGAAUGGAGGCCAGACGCUCAUCCAGAGCAGGAAUGGCAGUAUCAGAAAAUACCGCAGGGAGAACCGUAGGAUGCCUACCAUUAUUGACAAAAAAUGGACUGUGCCCAGAGGAGUCAUGAACAGCAUUGUUUCUAGCGAACUCGACCCACGGGAGUAGUUCGGACCAAUUGUCUUGUGUGCUAUUAAUAAAACAUGCAAAUAAACUUCUAAUGACUGGUUAGCCCUCUCAGCUGUACCAUUGGUCUGUGGAUGGUAGGAGGAGGAGAAGGAGAGCUCAAUCCCCAAUUGUUUACUGAACGCCCUCCAGAACCUGGACACAAACUGAGAGCCCCUAUCAGACACAAUAUUGUGGGGGAUGCCAUGCAAACGGACAAUUUCACGUAUGAAAAUUAGGACCAAAUCUUGCGAAGAUGGCAACUUCUUGAGAGGAAUGAAGUGAGCCAUCUUAGAAAAUCGGUCUACAACCAUGAGAAUAGUAGUGAACCCAGCAGAGCUAGGAAGCUCAACAAUAAAGUCCAUGGAUAGGUGGGACCAUGGAAUCUCAGGAACAGGAAGAGGCUGCAACAGGCCACAAGGAAGUGCAUGAGUCACCUUAGAAACUGCACACACAGAACAUGCCUGCACAUACUCCUUUACAUCUUUCCUGAGUGAAUCCCACCAAAAUGAUCUAGUGAUCGCGGCAGUGGACUUAUUGAUGCCCGGGUGUCCAGCAGUUAUAUUGUCAUGGAACACUUUCAUGAUAUUAACCCUUUCACAUAGGGGAACGAACAGUUUAUCACACGGUUUACCACUGGGCGCCUGAGGCUGGGCCUCCAGUAUGGUGCCAAGCAGUGGAGAAGACAGUGAGAGGACAGUAGUAGCAAUAAUACACUCUGCUGGAAUAAUAGGAGAUGUCAUCUGUUCCGGAGCUGACUCAUUAUCAAAUUGCCUGGACAAGGCAUCAGCCUUGGUAUUUUUAGAACCAGGUCUAUAAGUAAUGAGAAAGUUAAAACGUGAAAGGAACAGUGACCAUCUAGCCUGUCUGGAAGACAAACGUUUGGCAUCCCCUAUAUAUGCCAGAUUUUUGUGGUCGGUUAUGAUCAACAGGGGGUCCUUGGAACCCUCCAAAAGAUGUUGCCACUCCUUGAGGGCAAGAAUAAUGGCCAACAGUUCUCUAUUGCCAAUAUCAUAGUUGCGCUCAGCAGGAGACAUCUUUCUGGAGAAGUAGCCACAAGGAUGCAAUGGUGUUCCCUGGCUUUCUCUCUGAGAGAGAACAGCCCCUACCCCUGUCUCGGAUGCAUCAACCUCCAAUAUAAAAGGUUUACUGGUGUCAGGAUGUUUUAGUAUGUCCGCAGAGGCAAAUCUUUGUUUAAGAGUCUCAAAAGCAUUCACAGCCUCUUUGGACCAUACCGUGCUACUAACCCCUUUGCGAGUCAUAUUUGUGAUUGGGGCUAUUACAGAAGAAAAUCCCUUGAUGAAUCUUCUGUAAUAGUUGGCAAAACCAAUAAACCUUUGAAUGGCUUUUAAACCAGAGGGUAAUGGCCAGUGUAGUACAGCCUCUAGUUUUUUAGGAUCCAUUUGAAAUCCCGAUGCAGAGAUGUUGUAACCCAAAAAGUGGACUUCAGGCUGGUCAAAUAUGCACUUUUCUAAUUUACAAUAAAGUUUAUUUUUCAACAACGUCUGCAGAACCUGUUUCACAUGGGAGUGGUGAGUUUGAAGAUCAGGGGAAUACACCAAAAUAUCGUCCAAAUAAACCAAGACAAAUGAGUAAAUGAAUUCCCUGAGUACAUCAUUUAUAAAGUCUUGGAAUACGGCCGGGGCGUUGCAUAACCCAAAUGGCAUUACCAGAUAUUCAUAGUGUCCACUACGGGUAUUAAAUGCCGUCUUCCACUAACCAAAUUGUAAGCGCUCCUAAGGUCAAGCUUAGUAAAUACUUUAGCUCCCUGAAGUCUAUCGAACAAUUCGGAAAUGAGUGGAAUAGGGUAUGCAUUUUUUACAGUGAUUUUAUUAAGUGCCCUGUAGUCUAUGCAAGGGCGUAACUCACCACCCUUUUUCUCAACAAAAAAGAAUCCUGCACCAGCUGGUGAGGAUGACUUUCUUAUGUGCCCUUUGCUCAAGGAUUCUUUGAUGUAUUCCUCCAUUAUUUUACUCUCCUGGGGAGAUAAGGCAUAAACUGCCCCCUUAGGUGGCAUAGCGCCUGGAAACAGGUUAAUGGCACAGUCAUAUGCUCUGUGGGGAGGCAAUACAUCGGAUUGAGCCUUGUUAAACACCUCCUGAAGUUCUCGGUAUUGUAUGGGAACUCCAGGAGUUUGGGGAGUGGUAGUGGGAAGGUCAAUAGUAUCCAAUCUCUUUAGUACUGGUUUUAUACAUCUCCCCAUACACUCUUUACCCCAUUCUAAUAUCUCCCCAUUAGCCCAGUCAAUAUAGGGAUUGUGCUUACUCAGCCACGGAAACCCUAAUAUGAUAGGACAUGAUGGAGAAGUAAUAACCUGAAACGUCAUCUCCUCCCUAUGGGAGGCCCCAAUGGAGAUCGUAAUAGGGACAGUUUCGUGGGUUAUAAGCGGUUGUGUGAGUGGUCUACCAUCAAUAGCCUCUACAGCUAGCGGCGUAGGUCUCUCCCUGACCGGUAUCUCAUUACCCCUAAUAAACUGGACAUCAAUAAAAUUUCCAGCAGCACCUGAGUCCAUUAGGGCACUGCAAGAAAACUUCUUGUUAUCAAGGGAAAUAGAUACCUCAAGGAGGAAUCUACUUUUGUUUUUGUUAGAGGACAACUCCAUCACACCUAAGAUCUGUCCCCUUAAGGUUCUUAGGUGCGGAAGUUUUCCGGACGCACUGGACAAUUAGUUAUCAUAUGUCCCUUUCUACCGCAAUAUAGGCAUAACCCCUCCCUUCUCCUAUACUGUUUUUCGGCCUCUGACAGUCUAGUGACCCCCAACUGCAUAGGUUCGGGUUCGGACUGUACAGGGAGGUUAGACAAAACAGGUUUAGAGAAUUGAGGUGCUAGGGACAUAGCCGUACGUCUGGUCUUGCUUCUGGUGACUUCUCUGAGUCUUAACCUAUUAUCAAUAUGCAUGACAAACGUAAUAAAUUCGUUAAGACUCUUAGGUAAUUCUUUAGCGGCUAUCUCAUCUAGUAUAGUCUCUGAGAGACCCUUUUUGAAUGCUGAGAUUAACCCAUUGUUAGUCCAGUCUACCUCGGAAGCUAAGGUACGGAAUUCAAUAGCAUAAUCCGAGAUAGACCGGUUACCUUGUCUGAUGUGCAUUAGGGCAGUGGAGGCGUCAUCCUCUCUACCCAAUGGCUCAAACGUGAGCUUGAAUUCGGCAAGGAAUUCCUGGUAAUUAUGAGCUAUGCUCCGAUUACUCUCCCACAACGGAUUAGCCCAGGCAAGGGCCUUGCCCUUUAAUUGAUUCAUUAGAUAACCAAUUCUUGCUCUGUCCGUGGGGAAUGACCCUGGUGAGGCCUCAAAAUGGUACUCCACCUGAUUAAGAAAACCCCUGCAUUCCUGGAUAUUGCCAUCAAACUGUAGGGAUGGUGAUAAGGAGAUGCAAGGAGUCCUAUUAACAGUGGGUGGAGGUACACAGGGUAGAGGUGCUAUAGGAGGAGACGCUGCAGGCUGCAGAUGCUCCGUUCUAGCGAGAAGCGUACUUAAAGCCUGAGUGAAUUGAUCCAUGCGGUGAUCAUUCUCCUCUAAUUUCCUCUCGCAAGCAGCUAUGUGCUGACACAGUUCUACAGGAUCUAUGGCCAUGUCGUAAUGUCAGGAUUACUGUUUGAUCCAGCACGUAGAACUGUACAGCACGGAUGACAAAUAAGUAACAUAUUACCGGUCCUUAGAAUGGCCGGAUUUAACGUACAAAGAAUAGUCAAAAAUACUAGCCGAGGUCAGGGAACACAGAAAGGGACACAGCGAUGAGGAAAGCCAGGAGUCAGGAUACCAGAAUAUAGAGAAGUCAAUAAACAAAGCCAAAGUCAAAAACCAGGUAGAAAACUAUAAACAGGAACGCGCUCUCAGACAACCACAAGGGAAACCACGACAGGGCACUGAGCAGGCUGAGAACUGGGCCUAAAUACCCCUCCUUUAGUUCUGAUAGGCUGUAACUGGCCUUUGACCCCAAAGUCAGUUACCAGGUUUCAUUUGCAUAAUUGCUGCUCAGCAUUAACCCUUCUGUGGAUUAGGUUGCUGCUCGGCACAACUUUUCCUGUGUGGACAGUAAAUGUCAUUAAUCACUUUUCUCUAAGCGGAUGAAUACAUGACACCAGGUUUCAUUUGCACAAUUACUGCUCAGCAUUAACCCUUCUGUGGAUUAGGUUGCUGCUCGGCACAACUUUUCCUGUGUGGACAGUAAAUGUCAUUAACCACAUUUCUAUAAGCGGAUGAAUAUGUGACAUACCCCCCAUGUAAAGGUUUUAUGGUGUUUUGGAAAGUUACGGGGUUAAAUAUAGGGUUCGCCAAUUAAAUUCUAUGGACUUUCUGCCUGGGUUGUCAGGUAGGUCCCUCAAAUAAUAAUAAAAUCAAAUAAUUAUAUUUUUAAUAAUUAAAUAUAUAUGUAGAAUGUGUGUCCGUGUGUAUAUAUAUAUAUAUAUAUAUGUAUAAAGUUUUAUUUUUUUAAUGUAUAAUAUAUAUGUGUCUAGCCAGCCUCCUACCCCAGGACUAUGGGCCAUGGAACCGGCUCAUUAAAAGACUUGGUUUUUGGGAUUUAUUUGUUCUCUUCGGGAACCGAAGCAACUCACAAACUGCGAACCACCUCUGUACUUGUUAACCUCUCCUGAAACUUCUAUCAACGUGGGUUCUAAUUGCGCUGCUGGGUGGCUGCCGUUUGUAUGCACAAACACGUGGGAACUGUGCGGCAGCCAUCUUGUUCGCGAGAAUGCAGGCAGCGGUGUUUGGGUGUCGAUCGCAUGGAACUCAAAUCGGACACUGAAACUCCUGAACAUCGCUGAACUUUGACGAACGCCUGCUUCUUCCCCACACAUGUCAGGAGAGCGCAGUUCGAUAGGUUUGUCCGUAUGAACCAGAUGAACAAACGCUACCAACAAGCCAGAGUGUGCAUUCGGUAUUUCUUUCACAUUGAGCUCCCGAAGUUGACCGGCAAAAUCACCAAACGCCCUGAAACUGUUUUGGGCAUAGGACCAUGUGUGCGGCCCGUCAGAACUUUGCCCCGGUGGCGUUUCGGCUAUGUUUCUGGGAUCUGAGCGCUUUUUUGGAUAUGUUGGGCGCCCAGAUCCAGGCUAUUAUUAUUAUUAUUAUGAUAGUUAUAUAGCGCCAUCAAAUUCCGCAGUGCUUUACAAUGGGUGGACGAACAGACAUGUAGUUGUAACCAGACAAGCUGGACACACAGGAACAGAGGAGUUGAGGGCCCUGCUCUAUGAGCUUACAUGCUAGAGGGUGUGGGGUAAAAUGACACAAAAAGGUCAGGAUAGUAUUAGACUAGUGACAAUUGCAGAAGAGGAAUCAGUCAGGAGCUAUUAACAGUUUAAUUGAUACGCUUUUAUGAAGAAGUGGGUUUUUAACGAGUUUUUGAAGGAGUGGAGACUGGGUGAGCAUCUAACGGAGGAGGGAAGAGAGUUCCACAGGAAAGGUGCAGCCCUCAAGAAAUCUUGAAGGCGAGCAUCAGAGUUGGGAGUACGGACAGAAGAUAGACGUAAGUUUUCAGCAGAUCAUAAGGGCCUAGACCCGACAUACUUGUGUAUAAGGGAGGAUAGAUAGGUGGGAGCAGCAUUAUGUAGAGAUUUGAAAGCAAGAACCAGAAUUUUAAAUUGAGCUCUAUAUUUUAUAGGAAGCCAAUGUAGGGACUGACAGAAGGGUGAGGCAUGGGAGGUGCGGACGGACAGGAAGAUGAGCCUCGCUGCCGCAUUCAUUAUGGAAUGUAACGGCGCAAGUUGGGAGCACGUAAGACCACUGAGAAGCGGAUUACAGUAGUCAAGGCUAGAAAGGACAGUGGAAUGGACCAACACCUUAGUCGCAUUUGGGGUUAAGUAGGGGCGGAUGCACGCAAUGUUUUUAAGAUGGAAAUGACAGGAUUUGGCGAUAGAUUGAACAUGAGGCUUGAAGGAGAGGUCGGAGUCAAAGAGAAAACCUAGGCAGCGAGCCUGUGUGGUGGAGCUGAUGGUAGCACCGUUGACUUGGAGGGAGACAGACACAGGAGUAACAACACUUGAGGGAGGAAAGACCAGAAUUUCAGUUUUGGUCAAGUUUAGUUUAAGGAAAUAGUAGAAAGGCAGUCAGAGACACUAGUCAAGAGGGACGGGGAGAGAUCAGGAGAGGACAGGUAGAUUUGCAUGUCAUCUGCAUAGACAUUAUAUUGGAAGCCAAAGGAGCUAAUGAGUUUACCAAGGUAGGCAGUAGAGAUGGUUAGAGAACUGUAUGGGACCAAGGACUGAACCUUGGGGGACACCAACAGAGAGGAGUUUGGGAGAAGAAGCAGAGCCAGCGAAAUAAAUAUAUAAAAUUAACGUCAUUCUAAGUGUAUUUUAAUAUAUAUAUAUAUUAUAUUAAAUAUAUAUUAAAAUACACUUCGAAUAAUGGAUUGGGUAUGUGUAUAUAAAAUUACUUAGAUCAUAUAUAUAUAUAUAUUUAUAUAUAUAUACUAGGAAAAAUCCUUGCACCCUGGCUGUACAGGUAUAUACUUGCUGGGUGCUCAGCCUGGGACUUUAGUUUAUAAAAAUAGUGGUACCCCCCCCAUGUAAAGGUUUUAUGGUGUUUUGGAAAGUUACGAGGUUAAAUAUAGGUUUUGCCAAUUAAAUUCUCUGGACUGUCUGUCUGGGUUGUCAGGCAGGUCCUCAAAUAAUAAUAAAAUCAUACAGGGACUGAAACGUCGAUCUCAUGUUUUAACCUUGCUAAUAAAAGAAGAUUUUGAGUGAAGACCGUUGAGUGCUGCCAUCUCUACCACUAUCUAUAUAUAUAUAUAUAUGAUCUAAGUACUUCUAUUACAUUUAUAAAGUGUUUUAAAACUUUAUUUUAACUAUUAAAACCUUUUUGCAGGCAUGAGGGGGACAGCCUGAGAGCUCAAGCAGGCCCCCUGCAGGCACUGCAAAAGCUGGCUAUUCCGGCCAUGUGAUCGCGAGGACCCUGCCUGGGAUGCCAGGCAAAUCCCCACAUCGCGAUGGCCAGCGAUAUGGGAAGUGCAUAGUUUGCCACGGACAUACAUCCGAGGUCGUUAACGACCAUUUUUUGUCGGACGUACUUGGUACGUCCGCGGUCGGGAAAGGGUUAACAAAGCAUGAUUUCUUAUUAUUAGCAUUUACAUAGCGCAAUAUAUUCCAAGGCUUUUUACAGUUAGAGUUACAGUUAGAGAAUGGAAAUAUUUGAGAACAAUUAAAUCAAAAUAAUACUGACAAAGACAAGAGGUGAAAAAGGCCCUUCGCAAACAAGCUUACAAUCUAUGAGUAAUUGGGAUGAAUGAUCUGUUUUCUUAUUUUUACUGUGUACAUUAAUCCAUUGACCUUCUCGGGUCUGGAAAUUCACAGCUGAAUCUCAGAUAUCAAAAAUGUGUCUUAUCUGUAGUCAAUGUGGUUUCUGCUGUAUGUAAAUAAAAUGAUGGUAUGAAUGUACACAUUAAUUACUUGCAUGUAAACUGUGCCUGAUCAGCAUCUACAUCCCUUCUCUCCGAGCCAGUUCUCCUGCUCUAUCAGACUUGGCAUACACCAUGUGGCUCGAUUGGGAACGCCAAGGACCCUGCUCUGGAAUCUAAGACG